rnacentral:misc_RNA from 1 species
GCAUGUUUCUAGUACAGAAAACGGGACAACGAUGACAAAACUGCGUUAUCUGUCGGCAAAGAAAAGGAUCAUUACGGAACCCAUAUCUAAUUUUCUUGUAACUGUCAUCAAGCAUCGAUGAACUGAAAAGCAUUUUAAAGAUUUGUAAGAAAAUAAAGGACAUUAUUGCGUUUAAGUAAUUAAGAUGAAUUUAUCUAUAGAAACAUUUUAAUGGCUUCGUUACUAAGAGAAGAGUAAUGGUUCAUACAAAAUGGCAACCUUCAGCGCAAAAUUCAAAAUCGCGUGUAAAUAGAUACCACGCUGCUGCUUUAUCGUCGAAGAACUUCUCCCUUCGUGAACAGACUUGUUCGUGUUGCUCGAUUAAAAUGGUCGAUUGUGGUUUGUCCAGCGACAUGUACGCAGUGCACGCAAACGCGUGCAGUUUCGUGCAAAAAGCAAGAUAAAGUCUUGUUUAUAAUACCAACGGAAGAC